GGACAGAACGACAAUAUUUGCACGACAUAUAUAUUUGUUGAAAACCGAAGUCAUAAGGACCUGGGUUUCAUACAGUUCCUACCAGUUUUUCAGAAAUGCAUAACAGUGAGAAUUGAGUAGAACCGACCGAGACGACAAAGGAAGGUUUGGCUCUCUGGUAUAACAACCACGAUGGACCCAACGAAUGUGCUAUUUCCGCGACUGUUCGACAAGGCUCUUUAGCUGCCCUGUGUCUAUGGGACACCAUGCACAAUGGAUGCGGAAAACAUCUUGAAGAUGCUGAAGUACACUCAAGUAAUCAGUGCUGUUAAGACUGGGUUACAGAGCGAAGUGGUGGAAAAGACGAAAGAGAAAUUACAUUUGUACUGGAAUUGCGAUUAACACCAUCACUUCCAAGCUGGUCAUCGAAUACUUAAGGAUAAUGAUGAUAAACUCGGUUUUAAGCAGGACAUAGAAUACAUGUACUUGCGAAAAA